UUCGUCCUCCUUCGUCCUCCCUAGUCUUCCCUUGUCCCGCCUGGCCGUCCUCCUGCGUUGCGUACCCCGUACCGAGCUCCCAGCCAGAGAUUAACCCUCUGCCGGGCGCUGAUCUCCACCGCCAGCCCCCUUCUGGAGCGGCUGGGGGGCUGGGGGGCUGGGGGGGGCGGAGCUUGGGCUGAGAGGAGAAGGUGCCGCACCGGGAACUGAGGAAAUCUGGUGAGGAAUGAGGCUCCUUCCAGGUUCUGUGUAUGUUUUCUGUCUUUAGAACUCAUCCGGGUUGGUUGGAUGAUUUCUCAGUUUGCCUUUCGAUCAGAUGAAAUGCAUUUAAAGAAUUACUCCUACGGAUAUUUAAAAGUAAUUUAAGAAUAGCACAGCCCCUAGAGUUUCAACAAUCGAACAUGAGGGGCCAAUUGGCCACAGAUCAGGAUGCCCUCGCCAAGUUUCCAGGAUGAAAAACCGGCUGAGGAGAGAAGGAAGCGAUCAGGACAAAUCCGUGGCAGAACUAUGUUUAGGUCAAAUUACAGAGAAGCACGGAUGGAAAUGGAUGAGGCAGAUGAAAACUGGGGGAAGUACUGGCCUGGUGGUGCUUAAAAAAAAAAAAAACUUGUCAGUUCAGUUCCAUGAGCUUCUUGAGAGUUGCUGUUUCUUCCCUCUUUAUCCCCAGCUCCUGACACACAGAGUUUUGAAGAUUCUACCUUUGGAUCACAAAGGUAGGGUGCACUUGAUUCUCUGCACCCAAUUUUCAGACAAACUCAAGCAAGCAUACUUUCUUCAGUAUUGUUUCAGAAUAGUCAGUCUGUACAUCUUGCCACAGCCAAAACAUAAAUCAUUGUAUUGGGUCACUGGUUACACUUUGGGAGUUAUGCCUUGCUAGAUAAGCAGUUAACUAAAGGAUGAAUUAAUAUUUCCACCUAGGCCCUGAUUUUGGACUCAGAAUUAAAUGGAAAUGUAGUUCUAUUUAUGGAAAACAGGGAAAGGAUAUUUGACCAGAAGUUAUAUGGGACUGCACCUGUGACUGACCUCACAUCUUCCCAGGCUGUCUUUUUAAUCCAGCUUUGCUAAGGCAAACAGCUGCACCUGGUGUUUUCCUGCCUCAGAUCUCUAUCACAGCAGCUAGGGACCCCUGCAGAAACCACUGCCCACUCUGACAUAUGCGUAUACCUGCAAGUGCAAAAGAACUAACACCUCGUGGGACAACCUUUGAGGCAGAAAUGAGCUGGUAGAGAAAUACUCCACUCUUCCGUCCUCCGGGUGGGCAGUUCUGAGGUGCAUUCUUGGUAACUCCUAAAAUGAUAGGGCUCUGGUGGCCCAUGGUGGUGCCCAACUUGCAGUUCAGUACUGCACUCUUGGAUUGCUUUUCUCUGUUCUUUCUUGAUUGCCUGAUUUCCCAGUCCUCCUUUCCUGUUCCUUGGGAUUUGUUCCCAAAAAAGCUACCUGUACCAAAAUUCUUGCUCAGAGUCUAUUUUGCAGGAGAACCCAGACUAAGCCAAUCGUGAACCCAAAAGAGGCAUCUCUGCCCACCUUUCACGGCCAUUCUCAACAGACCUUUCCCAAGUCUGCUAACAAGGAAUCAAUUUGUUCGGCCUGAGCUUUUGCUCCUUUUAUUUCCUAGUUGCCCUGUCCUCUAAGGCAUCACUAGUAAGCUCUCAGAGACAGGCAGGAAGUAUCAGGGAUUCCUAAGAGGUAGGGCCAGUUGAAGGGCUGAGGCUGAGAGUCUGACAAAGCCAUUCUCAGACCACUUAAACCUUUCCCCUGUUUCCAAGGUCCUUGCUGUGGACUUUGAAACUGUUGAAACUCUCAGUUGAACAUGGAGGCAGAGACCAUGUGAGACCCAGUUCACUCUCCACACAGCGUGUGCUGAGAUUCUGUCUCUUUUCUGCCCUCCUCUUCCCCUUACUCCCUUGUGAAAGCAGUUCCUCUACCCAGAUACAAGGUCUCAGGCCAGGGUGUUUGGCACCUAGUACAUAUCAUCUCAUUUCAACACCAACGGUGCUGUUGCAAAUUGCGAAGCUAGCCUUGGGAGGGAAACAGCCCUUCGUCUCUGCCUUCAAGGAGGGAAAUGAGACAUGUACCUAAGCUAAAUGAAUCAUUGAAGUCCUGGAGAUCUUCUAAAAGAGGGACAUGGAAGUAUAGUGGGAGUACUGGUAGGGCUUCAGGGUGGGCUUUGUAGAAGAGCAUCCUGAAAGACUCUCGGGUUGGAACGAAGUCCCCUAAGAGAUCCCACUGCCCAGAAAGCCACAGUGUUUGCUCCUGUCCAUAUCAGUUCCUAAUUGCCUCCUAGGUCACACCCUUCCUGAAUCAUGCUAAUCAUUCCCUCAUUUUCCUAGACCCAAGCCCUCCCUUUGUAGAUCUGGCUCCGUCCCAUCUCUGAAUGCCCUUGGUCUUCUCUGCCCUCAGUGUGAAACCAAGAAAAAGCCCAAUGGGUUAUUCUAAAAGCUGUGGUGCUCAGAAUCUAAUGGGCUGCAAAGAGCCCUUGAUCCUGACGUGACUAUAAUACUGAUUUCUGCCCAUGAAUGAGAACUGGAGGUCCAGCCUUUUUCCCUGCCAUGAAUGAGCAAGUAAAACAAGAGCUUGGACCUUUCUGGAAAAAGAAGGGUGGUAUCAGGCACCCGUAUCUGCACCUUCUUUCUGUCUCUUGACUCCUAUGUAUUUAAUUAAAUCUUUGGUUUUUUAAACACA